CGCGGAAUAGAGUAAACUGGCGAACUCGUUAGGCUCAUGACCUGAAAAAUGUAGGUUCAAGUCCUACUUCCGCAA
rnacentral:tRNA from 1 species